rnacentral:lncRNA from 1 species
UGGGCAGCUCAGCAGGUGAAAAGUUUUAAGAGUUCUAAGUAAGAUGGUAAUAUUUCCAAAGUGAACAAUCUCUCAGAUUUUUCUAGAAGCUGUUCAAAGAGUGAGUUCCUUUGGAGGACACCGAAGCCAACGAGCAGAAGUGCACCAGGGCAGGUCUCUGGAGAAGAUGGAAGCUCUCAGAUGUCUUCUCUGAGCCGGCUGUCCAGAUGUCCUAUGGCAGCAGUAGCUACAUGAGUCUUGGCAGGUUGCGUCUUUACACCACCACAGCCACUGCAUUCAGUCGGCAGCUGGGUGAUUAAUAAUGAGGCUGGGGCAUUCUGUGUGCUCUGUUCUUUAGGAAGAGGAUACCCUCUCCCCUGUUAACAUGUGACACAAAGGUCAUCACACUGUCCAUCCAUAUGCAUCUACGAUCUUCCAACCUUUUUCCUUCUAGACGCCUGACCAGCUGGCCAAGCCAUUCACUGUUUCCCAUGGUUCUCAUGAUUUUCUGACUCUGGGCCACUUCCCUUUCAUCAUAAAGUGGAUGACCAGGUGCAUUGCCCAUUGGGAGGCUUUUCUCUGACCACAUCCUACCAAGGCCACCUUGCAGGGAGCGUGCAGCAGAGUGGCCAUCCAUUCGCAGUUUGCACCCACCUAACAAGCUCACCCUCUACAAGUAGGUGUGGGCUUUUUCUUCCUCUCAUGGGGUCCCCUAUACAGCCAGGGAUAUGAGCCACCAGGGGGUCAGAACAAGUUACAGUGCAUUGGCAUCUGGACCACUGUUCAUGCCGUCUGCCUGGGCUCAGUAAUGCUGCUAGGGCUCAAUCCUGGACCAACUCUUCAUCUCAUACAGGAUGGUUGCUGGACCAGCCUUUAUGAUUUACCAGGUCUGCCCUGCUUAUGAUGGACAGACCCAGCUGAACGGCUACUGGGUGUAACAGAGCCCAAUAACACACCAGGAGAUGCUUUCCAAAACGCAUGAAAUUCUGUGCUGCUCUUAAACAGCUUGACUCCAGAACGCUGGGGGCCAGCUUUGUGAUUCUCUGGCUGGGGCUUGCCAUGUGUUCCACACAGCUUCUGUUCCCACUGCUGACACCUCCAACACCAGCUGCAGGGACCUUUCCCACUCGGUCGCAUUCAGAGCUGCUCAGUAGCUUUUGGUCCACUUCGUGUUGGAACUAGAGCAGUAUUCCCAGCUGUGGAAUCUGCUGCUUCUACAACCCAAAGAGGCCAAACACACACUGCGAGUCUUUCUUUGUGAAAGAUAGGAAACUCUUGUCUCUCCUUCUUGCCAUCGGUUGUCACAUUGCAGCAUACAUAAGAAUACACUUGAAUGCUUGCCCCAAUGUGAAUUAUCAAGCCCUACCCACAGAGAGUCUGAUUCCAAAUAUAUCUGUGUGAGGAAUCUGCAUUUUGAGAAAGUACCUCCCACCCAUGCUUCUAAAGGUCUUCGAGCAAGCUGUUCACUUUGCCUCUUGGCCUGCCUUUCUUCUUUUCUUCUCCACCUGUGACCCGCCCUUGCCCAUUCUUCAAGACACAGCUCCCAUCAGUAUCACCUCUUUUGUGAAGCUUUUCCUAACUCUCCCCAGGCUGGAAUUAGUCCAUCAGGAUGUCACAGUAAUUUUCAUGCCCCUUUUCAUCUCCAUAGUUAUUUAUGUGAAGUCUCAUCUUCCCACAAGGCUACAAACUUCUGAGAUUUUUUUCAUGUACCUUUUAUCUCCAACAGUCAUCCCAAUGCUAAGUGUGUGGGAGGCACUCACAGUACACUUCUUGGAUGGAUCAGUGCAUGAAUCCUGGGGAUCAAGGUGUGAAAAUUCUGUGAAUUGGUUGAGUUCCAUGAGAUAAAAAGUUAAUAUAUCAACAUUUAGUCCUUUCAUUUUCUCACCAAGGGAAUAGUAUAUGCUUUCUCCAGAAAUCUCAUCCUAUACUCCUCUUAAUCCCUUUAUGGAGCUACAAGAUAAGACCUUAAUCCCUCAAGGACUGACAUUUGAUCAGCGCUUACAGACUUUUUCUAAACAGAGAACAGCUUUUUACCUAUGGUUUUAAAAAAAUGGAAAUUUUUCUGGGAAGAAUUUUCUAUGAAUUUCCCAUCCAUUUCAACAGAGCACUUCUUUUGCUAAUUAAUUAUUGAUUUGCUUGACCUGACCCAUUUUUGCAGUGCUGCGAGUUCGGGUCCCUGUGGAUGCUGGUCUUUAAUAUCAACUCAAGGCAGAAUCAAGUUGUUAUGUCAGAGGCGGGGGCCUGGUAGUGGCGUGAAUGUCCUUUCUAAAGGUGGUGGAAACAGCAGAAUGUCAGCGUGGUAACGGAACUUCUUAGAGUGAACGCUCUUGGUGUUGGGAGAGAACAAAUCAAAGAAAUCAAAACCUCAGAGCAACAGUUGAUGGAACUUGAGAAAUUAACAGACUUUUUCAGAGACAGUCUAAGAAACAAAGACCCUCCGACCAGAGUCUUGGUCUUCUCGUGUGAUACUUAUUACCUUUACCUGGGUUUUAGCUUCUGAACUCUGCUGGGUCAAUUCAACAAAUCUACAAAGCACAUUCUUAUUGGUUCCACUCAGCUAUGUUCCCACAUCAAUGAAGAACCCUCGUCGCUUGAUGCACCCAAAGGGAAGCUCUUGGUACAUUGAAAUAAAGUCAAUAGGAGUUCCUGUCAUGGCGCAGGGGAAACGAAUCCAGCUAGUAUCCAUGAGGAUGCAGGUUUGAUCCCUGGCCUUGCUCAGUGGGGUCAGGGAUCCCGUGUCGCUGUGAGCUGUGGUGUAGGUGAAAGACUCAGCUUGGAUCCCAUGUUGCUGUGGCUGUGGUUAUAAGCUGGCAGCUGUUCUUCCAAUUCUACCCCUAGCCUGGGAACUUCCAUAUGCCAUGAGUGUGGCCCUGAAAAGCAAAUAAAGUCAAUAAAACGUAGGUAACAAAAUGAAAAAAAUAAAUAUGGAGCCUUUUCUGUAUAAUAUGUAGUUGAUAAUUCUCCUAAAAGACCCAAAGAAAUUAUCUUUUUUGAGUUUACUCAUCUAAACAAAAUUAAAGACAAAAAUCAUAAUGUUCCCCAUAGAUUCUAAUGUAUACUAUUACCAAAAGGAUAAAGUAAAACCUUCUUCUUAAUAAAAGCAUGUAAAAUGAUUUAAAAGAUAUGUACCAUGAAAUUACACUAGAAAGCUCCUAUUUAUUUGAAUACAGUCUCUUCAAUCUUUCUUUGCCAUUUAUGAGUAAAUAUUUGUAUCUAAAAAGAAAUUUGAAUUCUAAAAAGAACAGGAGGCACUGAAAUAUACAGAGAGGACCAGAUAACAUUUAUCUUAUCACUUCUAAAACCCUACAGCUUCCGCCAGUGAUUAGGAAUUGUAGCACAUUUUUUCCCCAGUUCGAAAAGAAAAUAAUGAGCUAUACAAACAUUUCCAGGAUAAUCAAGCAGAAAUUUGCUGAAACGAAUCAUGAAAAUUUUUUAACAAUGCAAGAAAAUAGUCAAUGAUUUUUAAUAGCCAUCAAAUCACUAAUAGCUUCUAAAUUCUGCUCCUAUAAUAGUAGGGGGAUGGAUGGGGUGAAUGAAAUGAUACAUGAAAAAGGAGUGACUCGUCCACCAACCAAAUGGCUGUUUACAAUGACAAAUUGUCAGAUUAAUCAGCAAUUCUUGGGCCAAAUAAAAACCACUGCAUUACUAAGCAUAUAUAUUCUUCUAUGCUUUCUUCUAGCAUUCCUUAUCCUCUUCCAACCAAAAUAAAUACCUUCUGUCUCCAUAAACAUGUACAUUACACAUGGAAAAGGCAGUGAAGGGCACGCUGGAAAUUAAUGACUUUUUGAUUAAGGUCCUUGUGAACCUACUUUAACAUCACAGUACUCCUAGGAGGAGUAACAUGCGUGGGGAGUGGUCACCAUACUGAAAAUUUGUCUAUCGGAUCUUUCUUCUCUGCGACCCAAGCUACAAGAGAGGAAGUGGGAUAUUCAAGAAGUGGAGGGAGGAACCUCAAAGACAAGCAGCCCACCACACACUUUCUCCAGCCCCGACACCCAGCGCUUGCAUUGCUCGCCAGCGCCCAAGAGAGCCUCAGUGCAAGCACAGUUCCAGCAAAAUUACCUUUCAUUGCCACCACCAGCUACACAGACAAAGGAAGGACCAAAUUCUUGUCUUUGUGACAAAUCUGGGCAUGCAUCAAUGGAAACCAAGCACAAUAAAAGUUUCCUUGGUGAAAAGGAUGAAGGCGGUGACUCUCUGCCAUCUAAUGGGUUCAGGUCCCAAAAAAGAAAUUGUUUUUUCCCAAAAAGAAAUUUUGACCUGACCUAUAAACCAGGGGCUCUGGUCUAAUGGAUCUAAUUCAUUUCACCUUAUGGGAAUUUGUGGUUAUUUCUUUAUUGCUAGAUGCAAACAUUACCUAUCCUGGACCAAGAAUGGAGCCUCAGUUACUCCCUAAGCAGAGGAGACUGAUGUGGUGGUGGUGGUUUUCUCUAGACAUAACAGCCAAGAGGUAGCCAAUGAUAUCGUACAUGGAUGACACAGUGACUGGCUUUCCAAGAGAUGAAAAUAGAUUCGCACAGCUGUAGAUACAGACUUUCUGUACUAAAUAACUCUAUUUCAUCACCAUGGAGAACUUACCCAGUGGAGCUCUACCCUGCAGCAACUACACCUGCAAAAGUUGCUUUAUUUUCAAAUGUUCCAAGCUCUAGAUGAGUAUUAUUUGGGAAUGUGGCCAGUGAAAGGAGAGGUGGCAGGUUCUGAGUAUAAAGUGUUCAAAAGUCAUGACCCCAUUAUAACAGCUAUUCCAGGCAAGUUCAAGUAUACACCCUAGGUCAGGAUAGUCUAUAACUUGCUGUGAGGACAAAAAAAAAAAAAAAAAAAA